ACACACGGCCAUAGAUCAAAGGAAAUUGGGUAUCCCGUGCACCAUAUAAGCUUUGAAUCGGUAGAUUAGUAGUCAGGUGGGUGACGACUAGCGAAUACCUACUGGAACGUUUUUU
rnacentral:rRNA from 1 species